GGCAGAUAACAGGGCCAUGAUUACAAAAUCAAUAAAUGGUCUCGAUGCUCUCAAUGCAGAAGAAAUGAAUAGAGACGGAGCCUGGCCAUCUGGAGGGACAGAGCUUUCUGCCUCGCCCCGUGGGGCCCCUGGGCUGUGCCCGCCCUGGCCCGGGUUUGAAGCCAGUAAUCACAUCAGAUGGCACCGCCAGUUCUCAGAGGCCUGGCAGCCGACUCUGUGCUCUGUGCCAGGUGGGGAGCACCCCUGGGCCCAGAGGAUCUGUCACUUUGCCCCUGGGCUGGCCUGGGCAGUGGGACUGCGGCCUUCUGCCCCGGGCACCCUCCACUGUCUGAGAGGGAGGGUCUAGGCUGGGAGACGAGGCUCCUCGGGGGCUGCCCCCCCACCGGCUCUGCACCCCCAUGGUCCGCGGCCAUCAGCCCACGGGGAUGGAGGACGGGGCCCCGGGACACGUGUUCCCGUGAGCCCCCGGGGAGGCCAGUGUGUCCAGUGCCCACCCUGGCUCCCUCUGGCUCUACCAAGUGCAGCUGAGAGGGACGGCCUUGACCCCAGCUCAGCCCUCCGUCUGCCCUCAGGCGCCCUGACCAAACAGGAUAGCUCCAAACUGGCAGAGGAAAGUAAAAGGGAAGCCAGCCCCUCCCUUGGCAGAAGGGCCGGCCCUGGAGCCUCUUUGUACUCCGGCUUUCCUCCGUGUUGUGGAUGUGCACGCACACGCUCACCAAGCCCAGCACCAGGCUCCCAGCGGACAGGGCCCUCCCGCAGCCCGGCCGAAGGACGCUCAGGCGCCCGGCUCCCCCAUGGAACCCUCUGGCGUGACCCCCUGUGCUCGCAGCCCCCCACCCCACCCCUGGGCACUCAGGUGGGUGGCAACCUUCUGACUUUCCGGCUCCCUUUGCAGCGAUUGCUCCUGGAGAACAUGUUCAGCCCCAACAUCCGCCCCAGGAGGUCAUGCCCCCCGUGACACCCCCCGCCGCGGCCAUGGGGACUCAGGACUGCUCACCCCAAUCUGGAAGAUCCUGCCAAGGCUCUUGCCUGUACUUUGUAACAGAAAAGCAGCGGGCUGGAGUCGCGCUUCUUAUCCAGACGCAAAACCACACGGGCAGGCAUGACCGCCCGCGAGGAGGAGGGAAACAGAGGGACCGCUCUUGCACGACGUGGACGCGUGACCAGGAAGCACAAGAAGGCCUGUCCAGGAGGCUCUACCCCAUGUCCAUCACUUGGGCAAAACACAAAAGUUCUGUGCGUGGGGUCCCGGGGAGGACUCGGAAUGCAGGUGCUCCCAGCUAUACGGUGGCGUGUUCGGGGUGUGCGCCAAGCGGCUGCGUGGAGGGCACAUGGAGGGCACCAGGGCUCCUAAUAAAGCCCAGGGCAGGCCCCUCGUGCCUGAGAUUCACUCCGAUCCUGUGGGCUCCCCAGCGUGCAUGGGCACUAGGAGGGCCGGGCCCCGGGGGACCCUGGGUUUCCACAGAUAUGCAUGUGUGUGUGUGUGUGCACACACGUGUGUGCAUGUGCCCAAAGAGCAACCUGUAGCUUCUGUAAUUAAAAUGAAAAACAAUGAUACAGAUACAGUAGAAAUAAAACCCUCCUAAAAAAAAAAAAAAAAAAAAAAAAACCCUCCUGCUCCGUUGGUGGGAAUGUGGCUGCAGUGGCUGCUCUGGACCUUGGCAGGGGGGAGGUCAGAAAAUCAAACACAGAGCUACCCUGUGACCCAGUAAUCCCACCAAGAGCAGGGCCUGGAGUGGAAGCUCCACACCCACGUUCACAGCAGCCGAUACAUGGGAGCCACUCAAGGGUCCAUCAACAGACAAGGGGAUAAACGUGGGCCAUCCACACGCUGGACAGUCACUCAGCCUGAACAAGGAGGGACAUGCUGACACCUGCCACAGCGUAGGUGGACCUGGGGGACGUGAUGCUGAGUGACACGGGCCAGACACCAGGGGACACAUCCUGCAGGAUUCCUACCCACACAAGGGCCCUAGAGUCUCCAGAUUCACAGGGAGAGAGAGUGGACGGUGGUCACAGGGGGAGGGAUGGGAUCAGUGUCUCAGGGAGACAGAGCCUCUGUUGGGACGAUGGACAGUCCUGGAGACAGACCGUGGGGACGGCUGCACAACAGUGUGAAUGUGCUUAGUGCCCCUGAACCGUGGCUUAGAGGUGGUUAAAUGGUAAUUUUUAUGUUACGUGUAUUUUACCAUGAUUUAAACAAAUAAAUAAUUAUUUUUUCAAAAGCAAUAAUACAAAGAACGGUUGGACUGGAGAACAGCUGUGGGUAGACUGGGGUCACUGCACACAUCCUGAGGGGCCUCUGGAGCACCCCUCCCUAGUGAAUGGGGGUUUGGGGCGUUGAGGAGAGUGGUCAGAGCAGGUGUGAGGCCUGCAGGCAGCCACUGGGGUUUGCGCUGGAGGGGUCAGGAUGGUGGGCCCAGGAGUCACCAGGCUGUUGUGGGGACCCCAGCACUCCACGUUGUCACUUGCUGCCCGUUGCCCCCCAAUCUCUCUUUUCAUCUAUGUGACAGACACCUGGGCGUACUGUGCAGGGGCUGGGGGGACACAGAGACCAGCAUGCAGACCCUCUCCAACUGAGACCCUGAUGGCAGGGACCCUGUCGUUUUCAGAGAGCCCCCAGGAAGUGCUUGUUGGGUGACCAGUGACCACACAGGUGAAUGCCUGUAGCCCCUCCCCCACCCUGUGCGCCCCUUCUGGGAGCCAGAGCCUCAGCUUUGGUGGCACCAUAAGACCUCCCCUGGGGUGGAAGCCGAACCCCUGUGGCAUCCACUGGAGAACCUGAGCAUGCUCCCUGUCUGGCCC
rnacentral:lncRNA from 1 species